rnacentral:rRNA from 1 species
UACGGAGGGUACAAGCGUUGUCCGGAUUUAUUGGGUUUAAAGGGUGCGUAGGUGGCUUGUUAAGUCCGGGGUGAAAGCCCACAGCUCAACUGUGGAACUGCCCUGGAUACUGGUGGGCUUGAGUAUGGACGAGGUUGGCGGAAUUGAGGGUGUAGCGGUGAAAUGCUUAGAUACCCUCAAGAACACCGAUUGCGUAGGCAGCUAACUAGGCCAUAACUGACGCUGAGGCACGAAAGCGUGGGGAGCGAACAGG